rnacentral:rRNA from 1 species
GAUGAACGCUGGCGGCGUGCUUAACACAUGCAAGUCGAACGGAAAGGCCCAAGCUUGCUUGGGUACUCGAGUGGCGAACGGGUGAGUAACACGUGGGUGAUCUGCCCUGCACUUCGGGAUAAGCCUGGGAAACUGGGUCUAAUACCGGAUAGGACGAUGGUUUGGAUGCCAUUGUGGAAAGUUUUUUCGGUGUGGGAUGUGCUCGCGGCCUAUUAGAUUUUUUGUGGGGUAUUGGCAUACCAAGGCGUCGACGGGUAUCCGUCCCGAGAGGGUGUAGGCACACAUUAGAACACAGAGACAGCCCACACUCCGAAAGAAGGCAGAAUGGAGGAAUAUUUCACAAAGUGCGCAAGCCUGAGUCACCGACGCCUCGUGGGGGAUGACGGCCUUCGGGUUGUAAACACCUCUCGCUAUUGACAAAGCGUUUUUGUGACGGUACCUGGAGAAGAAGCACCGGCUAACUACGUG